UUUUUUUUUUUACUUUUUACAGCCACACUUGCAGCAUAUGAAAAUUCCCCCACCAGGGAUCAAAUCCAAGCCGUAGCUGGGCCUACAUCACAGCCACACCAAAACCAGAUCCAAACCGCAGCUAUGACCGACACCACAGCUUACAGGAAUGCCAGAUCCUUAACUCAGUGUGGCCAGGGAUCGCACCCACAGAGACAAUGCUGGGUCCCUCACCCACUGACCCACAGCAGGAACUCCCAGAACACUACAGUAAAAGAGCAAUAGCAUUAAUAUUUUCUGCUAUGUAUUUAAAAGCAAAAUCAAAACACCCCUUUAAAAAGAUACAAAUAUAGAAUCUCUUCCUCAGAAAUGUGAUGGGAACAUGGACUUUACAGUUCCUGUUAGUGUAACCAAUUUAUAGUGUACUUCUUAUUCAAAUUAUUUUCAGAAUUAAUUUGUUUUUAUUUGGGGAGCUGUUAUUUUGACUAUAUGGUAUAGGAUUAACACUUAAGUGACACAAAACAUUAAGACUUCAUCCAACAUUCUUUAAAUAAUUUUGUCAUUUUUGUGGUUCAUACAUGUUUAAUAGCAAGUAACAGUGGCACUAAUCCACAUAAUUAAGGAAACUUAAAAAUGUAAUUAUACAUUUAAAACAUCACAAAAUGCCUACCUUUUAACUAUUCCUCUAGAGUGAGGAUGAGAAAGAUGUGCAUUGCUGUCAUUGGUCAUCAUUUUAAUAAUUUUAACUAUUGUAUUUAGUUUUCUGAAUAUCUCUAUUUCUCAACAUGACUAAGAGACAACUUAAAAUAUUUACUCUAAAUGCAAACUUUGUGAAAACUUUUUGGAAUUGCCUAUUUGGCCACUGAACUGGGUCUCUCCUGAAGAUGCAUGAACAAUUGUGGUUUAUCUCUAUCUUUUUAUGACCAUGUAUGUGUUGACCCAGCAAUGUUCCAAAAGAGCAGAAAGCUAUCCCUUUUCUAUUCACUCCCAUCUAUGCCUUUUUACCAAGUUCUGUGCAUAUUCUUUGAUGGAAGCUCAACAAUAAUAUGAUGAUAAUGGUAUUGUUCCACGUGAUGAUAAACCAUUAAUUUAUCAUGAGGUUCAAUGACUGAAUCAAAAAUCACUUAACACAUAGUGAAGAGAUUAUGGAACAAUCUUCUAGGUAAAUUGUCUCAGGGGGACAAUGUGUGCCCAUUAGGUGAUAUGAACUCAAUCUAGACAAGAGGACAGAUGCUGAAAUUACUUAUUUUACGCACACACUAGACCAAAGAUUCACUUUUUCAGUUAGCCUUGUCUAAAUUCCAUAUUGGAAAAAGAUUUCAGAGUCAGAAUGAAAAAACUAAAAGACCAUAUUGUUAUAUACUUCAAAAAAAUUAUGAUAAAUAUGCUUUAAUAUGCUUGUAACAACACAACAUUCUUGAGCAUUCUUUGUGCUUUACCGUCACGUAUCUUGCAUUCCUAUUGUGCUAAGGCAUCACCAUUUUGCUCACUGGAGAGUUGUGACUGGUCCAGCACUGCAUGAAUGCAGGACCAGGUACAGAACAAAGAAUGCAAGCUCAGCUUUUCAACCAGCAGGUUGAUGCCCUGACCCCCAUGCCAUGUGCUAUGAUCAUGAGUGAUGGAGCUGUUCCGACGCAAGCUACUUUCAAAUAAUGAUCCACAAAGUUAAUCAAAAGGGCUUCCCUGUUCAAUAUUUACCUGUUACUCAUGGACAGCCACUGUCUUUAUUGCCCAGGAAUACUGAGCUCAAACACAACCUGAGUGCCUUGCUGAAGUACCAGGCACAAUGAAAGCUGAAUUAAACUGCCCUUCAAACCACCCCUGACACCUAAGACGUCUGCCUGAGUUCCACAGCGGCAACACAUUGCUCCUUCCUGGAUUUGGUGGCCAAAUUAGUUACUGAUAAUAAGAGGAAUGAAAGGAAAAAAUACCACAUUGAGAGGAAAAAAAUAUAUUAGGUAUAAAAAUAUAAACAUGGAGGGGAAAAUAGUAAUUUCCUGUACUUGGGCAAAAAAAUAAUAUUCCCUUCUUGAUGUGAUCUCCUUGCUUUUAUGUACUAGGAAAGUCAUAUCGAUCCUGAAAAUUAUUUUUCUCAUUUUAAUACACAUUCAACAUUUUAAGCUAAAAAAUAAGAAAACAUUGGAUUUUUUUAAAAUGUGUUAGGUAUUUAAAUGCUGUUUGCUUUGAAAUGAGAAUUUAUUAUUUGCAUUAUCCAUGCAGCUUGGUAGAUUUGAACAUGGGAAGAAAGUUACUCCAAAUGUUAAUCCUCUUAACUGAUUUUUCCUGAACACCUACCAGGAAUGUUAACAUUAUCUGAGCACUUUGUUCUAAGGCAUUGUUCUAAGUACUUCACCUGUAUUGGUGCCUUUAUUUCCCAUGAUAAACCCUGUGAGAUACUAUGAUCAUCAUUACUCAGAUGAGAAAAAUGGGCAACAGAGCUUAUGUAACUCAUUCAAGGUCAUUCAGCAAAAAAUAAUGAAUACAUCGGUCUCCAUCAGAACCUGUGCUUUAUCUACUACACUGAAGUUGCCUCUAAUUGUGCUCAGCACCACUAAGAAGACAGACAAUCACUGGCCUUUAACAAGCACCUAAUGAAGGUUUGUGGAGUGAAUAAACAAAUUAAUAACUUUAAGUAACUUGCAACCUUAUUGAGAAGAUAUUAUCCACACACAUACGGACUCUUCCACCCUUUAAGUUUUUUAACUUUAUAUCAUGUGUUGCCACUCAGUUUAUAAGUUCCUAGAAGGUAUAUAUUUGCAUAUAUACAAAUGAGUGCCCCAACAUGUAGUAAAUAGUGCAUGAGGAUUUAAUAUUGGACUCAAUACUGACUUUCCUUUCUAUCUCCCUUCAAUCCAUUGCAAUAGAAAAUCCUGUUGGUUCUUCCUUCAGAAUAGGUCAGAAUUCUAAUUCUUCUCACCACCUCCACUUCUACACCAUUGGUAUGAGCCACCUUGCUUAUAUCAUCAUCUCCAAGCUAGUGUCCUUCUACCGCCCUCAUCCCCUUGAUGCGUAUGCGCAGCCAGAUUCUAAAUAUUAACUCAGAUAUCUUCCCAAGGUCCCCAUUUUGAGGAAAAUAAAAGCCAAAAGCCUUCUGUGUCUGCAGGAUCCUAUGUGGGGAUUCCCUAUUACCUCGCUGACCUGUGUCCUGCUCCUUUUCCUCACUGCUUGAUCAGAUCCCACCACACUGUCCUCUCGUGGUCUUUAAACACAUCAAGAAACCUAAAGCUUCAGAGCUUUUCAACAGCUGUUCACUGUGCCUGGAAUGCCUUCCCCUGCCUAUCUGGACACCUAACUCCCUCACCUCCUUAGACAGAAACACCAUCUUUAGAAGUGGAGCCUCACCUAUUGGAAACCAUAAUCAACCCUUCUUCACCCCGACACUGCUAAUUCCUUUUUAACCUUUUUUAUUCCAUAGCACUGACCACCUACCUAACAGACUAUGUGAUUGACUUGGUUUUCAAAUUUGUUGUGUACUCUCUGUCUCUAAAGCCCUCUAACUUUAAGAGCAAAGAUUUUGGUCUUUGUUCAUCAACAUAUCCCAAACAGUAAUUCCUGGUUAUAGAAGGUACUCAAUUACUGUGUUGAAUCAACUGAGAGGAGAUAAACCACACAGAGACAGUGCAUGUGUUAUACCUAACAAGGUUAAGUCGACACGUUUCAUGGAUAGAAGCAGAGAGCUUGUGUUGGAAAUGACCAUGGGGAGGAGGGGAGGCUUAGAGCAAGACUGGGGGUUUUCAACACUAAGCUUGAGAUAUCGUGCGGUGAGAAUGAUCAGUCAAUGAUUUGGAGCAAGGAAAUAUGCUGAAAACAUUCUUUUAACCUAAUACUUAUAAGCAAAGAAAAAUUUGUAUUCCCUUGCAAGGUGCUUUGUAUAUAGUAGACUCAAGUAUUUAACUCAAUAAAACUGAAUGAGAUGAGAGCUAAGACAUCUUAGGAGGAGACUGCAACAACCUAGGCAUGAAAUAAGAGAUCAGAUUAAGGAUAUGGGAAAAGAGACUUAUUUGUAAAUCACACUACAUACAGGAUAUUUGAGACUAGAGAGGAGUAGAAUAAAAGAUGAUUCCCAGAGUGAGCUUGAAUGACUAGAAAUAAGGCAAAAGAAGUGCAGUGGAGAGGAGGGACGUUUUAAGGAAGAUGUGGCGGUCUUUUCUGGGAGGAUAGCUGCCCUGUCCUGGGGAGAGCCCUCAACUGGACACCGGGAAGGUCUCACUCUGCAGGAGGUUCCAUGCCACACGGCCACCAUGUGAAAUUCUACAAACUACUUAACCUCUGUGACGCAAGGGCUUUUGUUAGGUUUAGGGGGUGGUUCGGGGGUGGUUCUUUCCAUGUAAAAUGUAGAUAAAACACAGUUCACUGGGUUGCUUUGAGGAUUAAUUGGGAAUGCCCAUGAGAGUGCUUGCAAAUGUGUUCGUCAUCAGAUUAGAGGUUGAUAUAAAGUAGAUCCCAGGCAGAAACAUCAAGUAGUUUGGAAAUACAAAACUAGGCUUGGCAAGAGGUAGGGCUUGAGAUAAAAAGCUUGUGGUUCAUCCAUUCCCGUGUGGUACCUGCAAUGUUAAGAACAUAUGAAAUUUCCAAAAGGGAGACCCAAUUGCCCCUACACUGGAGAGUACACAAAGGACACCAAAUAAUUUUUAAAUAACUAAUGUUUAAAUAUAAGCAACUUCUGACGUUCCUGUCGUGGCACAGUGGUUAACGAAUCCAGCCAGGAACCAUGAGGUUGUGGAUUCGAUCCCUGGCAUUGCUCAGUGGGUUAGGGAUCUGGUGUUGCCAUGAGCUGUGGUGUAGGUCGCAGAUGCAGCUCGGAACUGGCAUUGCUGUGGCUCUGGCGUAGGCCGGUGGCUACAGCUCCAAUUAGACCCCUAGCCUGGGAACCUCUAUAUGCCACGAGCGUGGCCCUAGAAAAGGC
rnacentral:lncRNA from 1 species